GGGCACUUGGCACAGUUGGUAGCGCGCACGCUUCGCACUGUGUGAUUGCGUGAGGUCGUGGGUUCAACUCCCACAGUGUCCA